rnacentral:rRNA from 1 species
UACGAAGGGGGCUAGCGUUGUUCGGAAUCACUGGGCGUAAAGGGCGCGUAGGCGGCUUUAUAAGUCGGGGGUGAAAGCCUGUGGCUCAACCACAGAAUUGCCUUCGAUACUGUAGAGCUUGAGACCGGAAGAGGUAAGUGGAACUGCGAGUGUAGAGGUGAAAUUCGUAGAUAUUCGCAAGAACACCAGUGGCGAAGGCGGCUUACUGGUCCGGUUCUGACGCUGAGGCGCGAAAGCGUGGGGAGCAGACAGG